rnacentral:rRNA from 1 species
AUUGAACGCUGGCGGCAGGCCUAACACAUGCAAGUCGAACGAGUGGCGGACGGGUGAGUAAUGUCUGGGAAACUGCCUGAUGGAGGGGGAUAACUACUGGAAACGGUAGCUAAUACCGCAUACCAUCAAAUUUCCCCAGAUGGGAUUAGCUAGUAGGUGGGUUAACGGCUCACCUGGGCGACGAUCCCUAGCGGGUCUGGGAGGGUGACCAGCCAAACGGGAACUGAGACACGGUCAAGACUCCUACGGGAGGCAGCAGUGGGGAAUAGUGCACAAUGGGCGCAAGCCUGAUGCAGCCAUGCCGCGUGUGUGAAGAAGGCCUUCGGGUUGUAAAGCACUUUCAGCGGGGAGGCGUUACCCGCAGAAGAAGCACCGGCUAACUCCGUGCCAGCCGCCGCGGUAAUAC